CCCUUAGAUGUUCUGGGCCGCACGCGCGCUACACUGUUCGACGCAGCGAGUCUUAACCUUGACCGAAAGGUUUGGGUAAUCUUCAGCAAAGUCGAAUGUGAUGGGGAUCGAUCAUUGCAAUUAUUGAUCGUGAACGAGGAAUUCCUAGUAAGUGCAAGUCAUCAGCUUGCGCUGAUUACGUCCCUGCCCUUUGUACACACCGCCCGUCGCUACUACCGAUUGAAUGGUUUAGUGAGAUCUCUGGAUUGACGCUGGCUAGGGGGCGACCCUUGGCCAGACUGCUCGAGAAACUGCUCAAACUUGAUCAUUUAGAGGAAGUAAAAGUCGUAACA
rnacentral:rRNA from 1 species